AUGCAGCUGACGAGUCCAAAAUAGGGCGAAACGAACAUUCUGGAU
rfam:Schistosoma curassoni strain Dakar, Senegal genome assembly, scaffold: SCTD_scaffold0001060